GUAUAAGCAAUAUUUAUUACCUUAGCUCAAAUGCAGGAAAAAUGGAUUUAUGAAGAAUCGACUAUCUUUCAAACACCAUUUUCAAAUCGAAAUGGGAACAGCAAUAUGCAAAGUAAAUACACGGUUGCUACAUCGCUAAGUAUUUCCAAAAUAUAUCACAAUUGUUAAAAAUUAAAUCGUGACAAUGUUUAUUUAUGUGUUUAAGGAAUACGCUACUAA